GCGUCUAUGGUCUAGUGGUUAGGAUUCAUCCCUUCCAACCCGAUUCGUUUCGGGUGAUGAUAGGAUGAGGGGGGGGUUCGAUUCCCUCUGGUCGCA